rnacentral:rRNA from 1 species
ACGUAGGUGGCAAGCGUUGUCCGGAUUUAUUGGGUUUAAAGGGUGCGUAGGAGGGCAGGUAAGUCAGUGGUGAAAUCUCCGAGCUUAACUUGGAAACUGCCGUUGAUACUAUCUGUCUUGAAUAUUGUGGAGGUGAGCGGAAUAUGUCAUGUAGUGGUGAAAUGCUUAGAUAUGACAUAGAACACCAAUUGCGAAGGCAGCUCGCUACACAUAUAUUGACUCUGAGGCACGAAAGCGUGGGGAUCAAACAGGA